rnacentral:rRNA from 1 species
AAUAUAAAAUUUUGGUUAAACUUUUUAAAAGUUUAUACUAAAAUUUUUAUAUUUUAUUAUCUAGUGAAUAAUAAUAUUCUUUAUUGAAUGUUAUUAUAAGAUCUAGAAUUUUUUACUGUGAAAAAAAUAGAGUGUUUAAAGCAGGCUAUAAAGCUUGAAUACAUUAGCAUGGAAUAAUAAAAUAGGACUUUGAUUCUAUUUUGUUGGUUGAAGAAUUAAAGUA